rnacentral:rRNA from 1 species
AGUGAACGCUGGCGGCGGGCCUAACACAUGCAAGUCGAACGGCAGCACAGUACGUGUUUGCUCUGAUGGGUGGGGGGUGGGGUGCGGGUGACGAGCACAUCGGAAUCUCCUUUUUGGGGGGGGUUAACGAAGCUAAACCUACCCCAGUACCGGAUAUGCCGUUCGAGUGAAAGCUGGGGAUCUUCGCACCGUUCGCGAGUGAAUGAGCCGAUGUCGGAUUUGCUAGUUGGGGGGGUAACGACCCACCAAGGCGGCGAUCGGUAGCUGGACGGAGAGGAUGAUCGGCCGCACUGGAACUGAGGCGCGGUCCAGACUCCUACGGGAGGACGCAGUGUGGAAUCUUGGACAACGGGGGCAAGCCUGAUCCAGCCAUCCCGCGUGGGUGAAGAAGGCGUUCGGGUUGUAAAGCCCUUUUGUUGGGAAAGAAGAGCAGCAGGUUGAUACGCCGCUGUUCUGACGGUACCCAGUGAAUAAGCACCGGCUAACUUCGUG